CCAGUGACAAAUCCGUAAACCCAAAGUAAAGAAAUAAUUAGAAGCUUCAAGUUCUACUACUGGUGCAACAAAAGACAAAUCUUGUUUCAUCAUGAAUCUCGCAAAGGUAUCAGAUGAAGAGAAGCUGUCUCUCUGCAGAAAAUACUUCAUUGGUGGAAUAUUUGCCCUUCCUUUCCUGUGGUUGGUCAACACAGUUGGUUUUUCCGAGAAGCCUUUCUCCGCUCGGCUUUUGAACAGCAGAAGAAAUUAGAUCAUAUGUGACGUGUGUCAUUGAUUGGAUGCCUGGUUUGGACCACAGGAUUGAUAGCAUGGAUUACUGUGAUCAAGUCAAGAGAGCAGAGUGGGGAGAGACUGGUGAUAGGUUAUCAUUUAUUAUACCCAGAGAAAGGCCAUAGCAGGGACUACACCAGUCAACCAAGAGCAUGAACAUUACCAGUUGACUAAACAUGGAGAGAUUGGAAUAGUUUAUUGUUUCAUUAUAGCCAGAGGAAGGUGAUAGCCAGGACUACUUCAGUCUAUCCAAUUUAUGAA